rnacentral:rRNA from 1 species
AACGAACGCUGGCGGCAUGCCUAACACAUGCAAGUCGAACGGGAUCCAGGCUUCGGCCUGGUGAGAGUGGCGGACGGGUGAGUAACGCGUGGGAACCUGCCCAAUGGUCUGGGAUAACCGCGGGAAACUGCGGCUAAUACCGGAUAAGCCCGAGAGGGGAAAGAUUUAUCGCCGAUGGAGGGGCCCGCGUCCGAUUAGGUAGUUGGUGGGGUAAUGGCCUACCAAGCCUACGAUCGGUAGCUGGCUGAGAGGAUGAUCAGCCACACUGGGACUGAGAUACGGCCCAGACUCCUACGGGAGGCAGCAGUGGGGAAUAUUGGACAAUGGGGGCAACCCUGAUCCAGCAAUGCCGCGUGAGUGAUGAAGGCCUUAGGGUUGUAAAGCUCUUUUGCCAGGGAAGAUGAUGACUGUACCUGGAGAAUAAGCCCCGGCUAACUUCGUGCCAGCCGCCGCGGUAAU